rnacentral:misc_RNA from 1 species
AAUCAAAAUAAUUCAUAAAUUUAGAUUUCCUUAACUGCUUUAGUAUCCCUAAAAGGAACUAGGUGCCUACUCAGGUAAAUUCGGUUAUCUUUCAACUGUUAAUGUUCUUACUACAGUCGCAUAUUCAAACCAAUAAUCAUUCAUGAAAAUCAAUUUUUUUACAACAACAUGCUUGUCAUGCCAUAAAUAAGAAAUAAACCAUCAAGCAUUAACUUGAGUAAAAAUGGGAAAAAAGGAUCAGGCAUCUACAUAAAUACCACUUUCUUUUUCCACAUCUUUAGCAUGAACUAUAUCAAAAAGUAGUUCGAGUUAUUUUGUGUCGUGAAAAAAUGAAGAUAGCUUUGAGAAUAAAGAAAUUCAUUAUUUUUACUUAAUAGAUGACUUUAACAAUACUGGAUCCAUGCCAGUAUAUUCACACAAGUAGCUUGAUAUGACAUAUUCAAUCAAUACAAAAAUACACCUGCAUCAUCAUCAAUAUUUGGCACACUGUGAAUUUCAACAGGCUCCAGAGCAGGAGAAAAAAUUGUUUCCAAGUUUGAU